rnacentral:rRNA from 1 species
UACGGAGGAUGCAAGCGUUAUCCGGAUUUAUUGGGUUUAAAGGGUGCGUAGGCGGAACGGUAAGUCAGUGGUGAAAUCCUGUUGCUUAACAACAGAACUGCCAUUGAUACUGCCGAUCUUGAGUACAUAUGAUGUGGGCGGAAUGUGUCGUGUAGCGGUGAAAUGCUUAGAUAUGACACAGAACACCGAUUGCGAAGGCAGCUCACAAAACUGUAACUGACGCUGAGGCACGAAAGCGUGGGUAUCAAAC